ACACGUAUAUCAAGAGCUGGAAAGAUAACCUCAUCUUCAGCAUUGCAGUGGUGCUUAUAUAUCGAGCGAAGGAAGUGACACUUCCGGAACAACGGCUUAAUAUCUCCACCAGUGGUGGCGAAAGUCAUGGCGGCGCAGUGGAGGCGAUCGAGCUCAGACCUAAUAGCUUUAUGGAAGAAGAGAAAGAUAAGAAUUGGAGAUUUAAGGGCAGAAUUCUUAACGCAAGUUUUCGAAGGCGUAGAAGGAUCGAUUGGGUUGACCGGUCCAGACAUUACCGC
rnacentral:misc_RNA from 1 species